rnacentral:rRNA from 1 species
AGCAGCCGCGGUAAUUCCAGCUCCAAUAGCGUAUAUUAAAGUUGUUGCAGUUAAAAAGCUCGUAGUUGAAUUUCGGGAUCAAUAUGUUGGUCGUGCCUUGGUACGUACUGGCAUUAUCGAUUCCUACCUUCUGAAGAACCUCGAUGUCAUUAAUUUGGUGUCUUGGGGAAUCAGGACUGUUACUUUGAAAAAAUUAGAGUGUUUAAAGCAGGCUCGCGCUUGAAUACAUUAGCAUGGAAUAAUGAAAUAGGACGUUUGAUUCUAUUUUGUUGGUUUCUAGGAUCGACGUAAUGAUUAAUAGGGAUAGUUGGGGGCAUUAGUAUUCAAUUGUCAGAGGUGAAAAUUCUUGGAUUUAUUGAAGACUAACUACUGCGAAAAGCAUUUGCCAAGGAUGUUUUCAUUAAUCAAGAACGAAAGUUAGGGGAUCGAAGACGAUCAGAUACCGUCGUA